UGAUGAUGAUGGCUAAGUAUCGGCUGUUUUGGACUCUUUGUGUUGCCCAUUGCAUAGACCUCAUGUUAAAGGAUAUGGGAAAGA